GCUAUUAUCCCUGUAAAUCAAUUCCUUCCUAUGAAUCUUCCCUCUCAAGACCCCCUCAGAGCUCUGGGGGAGGUAGGGAGUGGUUAAGGAGGGGUCACAAAUUAACAGGAAAAGGUUAAAAGCUCUUCUGACUUUCCGCAGCACAGCCAGCAAUGAGUCAACGACAAAGUUCGGCUCCCUCCUAGAAACAGCUGAGGCCAAGAGGCAGAAGGAAAGAAAUGCCGACAGAGACCCACAGAGCCCGCUGCAAUGUGGUAAAGCACCCAGCCAGCCAGCACAUCUUCUGGAAAACGAGAGCAGAUGCGACCACAGUUGGCACUGAGAAGAGCCAAGCCACAGCGCUGCUGAUGACAGUCACCACCCGGAAGGAACGCGCCAAAGGCAGCUGCAGAGGCGGCAGCUGGGCUCACUGAGGAAAAUGAUAAUAGUUCUGCAAGCCUGGUUAUUCCCACCUAUUUUAGAGGAACAAAUUGGAAUUGAGAGUCUCCUACGAUGCAGCUCAGAGCAACGAGCUCUUCCUCCAGAUAGCAAGUAUCUAGAAAAUGAAAGAAGCACAAAUAAUUACUGGUGUGCUAAGCACUGAGAACUACUGCAUCAUUAAGGCCUCAAGCUGAAAAAUCCCUCUUCCUGACCUAAAUCUCCUUUACUUCUCACCCCACAGCUCUCUCACUCCUGCUGAAUCUGUCCUCCCCUCCUCUGGGCCUCCGUUCUCCAGAUCCAUCUCUUAUGUCCUCAUUCAUCAGUGUCCUUCUGGCUUUAUCUGCCACCUACCCAGCCUGGACUCCAUUAGAAAUUAUUUAAACAGGAUUUUUCCCAGAACCUUAGAAUUGCUCACUCCCAAACUAUCUCCUAUGGCUAUACUGUUGGUCGUCAGAUCUGGGACACUCUUAUCUUUCUUCCCCCUAUUUCAUUGUCAUAUGGGACAAAUCACCAAAUUUAUCCCAUGUGCCCAUUUUCUCUAAACCCUUACGGGGGUCUAACUUCCUACUGACAAUCCUUUUUGUUAACUUUUCCUCUUGUCCUGCACAACUUCUACCAGCAUUAGUCUCCCCAGAUCUAUCUGUUUGACCGCCUUACCUAUAAAGGCAAGCUCAUUUUUUGUCAUUAUGAAAAGAAUGGGUUAUUGCUUAGGAUUCUGUCAAGUUCUUUAUCAAAAAAAAAAACCAAAAAAACAAGACUAUAUAUUCUCCACCACAGUUUUACCUUUCCACUUGUUACAAAGAAAGAAAGGAAGAAAGAAAGAAAGGAAGAAAGAAAG